GUCUCGGUCUCUUGGGUGGUCGCGUCAAUCCCGGACGAGCCCCCAAAUGAAAGAUUCCCCAAAAAGAGACCCUCACUCAAGCCUCGGGAUGUGGCGUGGACCCAAGAGAGACGAGGAGACUG
rnacentral:pre_miRNA from 7 species